rnacentral:rRNA from 1 species
GUGAGGAAUAUUGGUCAAUGGGCGGGAGCCUGAACCAGCCAAGUCGCGUGAAGGAAGAAGGAUCUAUGGUUCGUAAACUUCUUUUGCAGGGGAAUAAAGUGCAGGACGUGUCCUGUUUUGUAUGUACCCUGAGAAUAAGGAUCGGCUAACUCCGUGCCAGCAGCCGCGGUAAUACGGAGGAUCCGAGCGUUAUCCGGAUUUAUUGGGUUUAAAGGGUGCGUAGGUGGUUUGAUAAGUCAGCGGUGAAAGUUUGCAGCUUAACUGUAAAAAUGCCGUUGAAACUGUCGGACUUGAGUGUAAAUGAGGUAGGCGGAAUGCGUGGUGUAGCGGUGAAAUGCAUGGAUAUCACGCAGAACUCCGAUUGCGAAGGCAGCUUACUAAGCUACAACUGACACUGAAGCACGAAAGCGUGGGGAUCAAACAGGAUUAGAAACCCUGGUAGUCC